rnacentral:lncRNA from 1 species
UUUUUAUUCGGCGCACGAUCCUUAGAGGACACCAUCCCACUCUUUAUAAGUUUCCGAACCUCGUACUUCAACGGGUAACAGUUCUCAAUAUCAUGGUCGGAAGCUCCUUGAUGAAAGGCACAACAGAGUUCAGGCUUAUACAACCAUGGAAGUGGCUCAGGAAUUUGAGGUGUAUUCCUUGGUUGAAGUAGGUUCUUGAGAACCAAAGAUGGGUAGAGUUUGUCGUAUGACAUAG